AGUGCGGGUGGCGUCGCGGGCGCGCUCCUCAGCCGCGGGCCGCCGCCUGCCGGCGAGUCGGACGGUUACAAAGGCCGCCGCGCCAGCCCUCGCCGUUUUCGCCUCGCCUCACGGUCGCGGGCGGUCGCGGUGACGGCACCCUGGGCCGGCUCCUCCGCACCCUUGCCGGAGAUGAGCGGAAGAUGUCCGUGUCGGGGCUCAAGGCCGAGCUGAAGUUCUUGGCGUCCAUCUUCGACAAGAACCACGAGCGGUUCCGCAUCGUCAGCUGGAAGCUGGACGAGCUGCACUGCCACUUCCUGGUGCCGCCGCUGAGCAGCCCACGCUUGCCGCCGCAGCCGCUCACCCUGCACUGCAACAUCACGGAAUCCUAUCCAUCAUCUUUGCCCAUCUGGUUUGUAGACUCUGAUGACCCAAACCUGACAUCGAUUCUGGAACGUCUAGAAGAUACUAAGAAUAAUUCGCUUCGUCAGCAAUUGAAGUGGUUGAUAUGUGAACUCUGCAGAUUAUAUAACCUUCCUAAGCACCUGGAUGUUGAGAUGCUAGAUCAGCCACUACCCACGGGUCAGAAUGGGACAACAGAAGAAUUGACUUCAGAAGAGGAGGAAGAAGAAGAGAUGGCUGAAAAAUACGCCUGCUUCAGCCUCGAAGUGCUGGGACUACAGGCAUACGAUAUAGAAGACUUAGAUCACUAUGAGAUGAAGGAAGAAGAGCCUAUUAGUGGAAAAAAAUUAGAGGAUGAAGGAAUUGAAAAAGAAAAUUUGGCAAUAUUAGAGAAAAUUAGGAAGACUCAAAGGCAAGACCAUUUAAAUGGUGCAGUGUCUGGGUCUGUGCAAGCUUCAGAUAGACUUAUGAAAGAGCUCAGGGACAUAUACAGAUCACAGAGUUACAAAACAGGGAUCUAUUCCGUGGAACUAGUAAAUGACAGUCUAUAUGAGUGGCACGUGAAGCUGCAGAAGGUUGAUCCUGAUAGUCCUUUGCACAGUGAUCUUCAGAUUUUAAAAGAAAAAGAAGGCAUAGAAUAUAUUUUGCUUAACUUCUCUUUUAAGGAUAACUUUCCAUUUGAUCCUCCAUUUGUUCGAGUAGUGUUACCUGUUCUCUCAGGGGGGUAUGUGUUGGGUGGAGGAGCACUGUGUAUGGAGCUUCUCACAAAACAGCUGCUUCUUUCUGCAGGGCUGGAGCAGUGCCUACUCCAUAGAGUCAGUCAUCAUGCAGAUCAACGCCACCUUAGUCAAAGGCAAAGCCAGAGUGCAGUUUGGAGCAAAUAAGAAUCAGUAUAAUUUAGCAAGAGCCCAACAAUCCUACAAUUCCAUUGUACAGAUACAUGAGAAAAAUGGCUGGUACACUCCUCCAAAGGAAGAUGGCUAAGUAUGUCAACUCUUUAUAGCUGGACCAAUGUUGCUUUAAAGAAAACCUUUCCAACAUGUGGAUGCAAGCUUCGAGUGCUGUAACAACCGCACGAAGAUGUUAAUGCCUAGAUCUUUAGUGGAUAACCCUCACUGCCGCAGCCUCAGUUCUGGCCUUUCUGCCUGCUCACUGUGCAGCUGGGCCCAUACCGUGUUCUUCCUGAUCGAUGCACCACAACCCCUUGCCAUCUCUUCCUUGAAAAGUGAAAUCUUGAAGCAGGCAAGUCAGCAUCAGGUCCCCGAAGCUGGAAUAUCACAGUAACUUCUUUAUUAUUGAGCCCAUGGGUUAUGAGGAUUUGCAAAAUACUGUUCCAUUUAGAGCCAAUAAAAGUUUAAUCGAUGUUCAAUGUUGGUUUAGAAAAUUUAGGUCUUCUAAACCCAACUUUUUCCAGGUCUAAAACUAUUUUAUGGUAUUGCCAAAAUAAUGUCCAGAAACCUGCUCUGAAGUUGUUCAAGUUGGUCAUCGGAAGCCAUGGACUGUCCAGAGCUCACAUCCUUGUUAGCAGAAGCUCUCCCCAUCCAGUGUCUGCUUCCUCGAUGUGGCUGAGACAGGCUGGGCUCACUGCUGCUUUUCCAUUUGGCAUGUCUCAUACAGAGGAGCCACGGGGUAGAGCUGGAAGAUGUUUAAAGUCAUUUAAUAGGGUAUUGCAAUUAUCUGUAAACUAAUAAACUUAUAAAUUGAUUGUCAUGAA